rnacentral:rRNA from 1 species
UGCCAGCCGCCUCGGUAAUACGGAGGGUGCGAGCGUUAUCCGGAAUCACUGGGUUUAAAGGGUGCGUAGGCGGCUUGGUAAGUCAGUAGUGAAAGCUCACCGCUCAACGGUGGAACUGCUAUUGAUACUGCCAGGCUCGGAUCGGCGCGAGGCAGGCGGAAUGUGGCAUGUAGCGGUGAAAUGCUUAGAUAUGCCAUAGAACACCGAUUGCGUAGGCAGCUUGCCAGAGCCGUAUCUGACGCUGAGGCACGAAAGCGUGGGGAGCGAACAGGAUUAGAUA